CAGCCGCCGCGGUAAUACGAGGGGGGCAAGCGUUGUUCGGAAUUAUUGGGCGUAAAGGGUGCGUAGGCGGUUUGACAAGUCUUAUGUGAAAUCCCCGAGCUCAACUUGGGAACUGCGUUUGGAACUGUUUAACUAGAGUGCGUCAGAGGGGGGUGGAAUUCCGCGUGUAGCAGUGAAAUGCGUAGAGAUGCGGAGGAACACCGAUGGCGAAGGCAGCCCCCUGGGAUGACACUGACGCUCAUGCACGAAAGCGUGGGGAGCAAACAGGAUUAGAUACCCCCGUAGUCCCUGUCUCUUAUAA
rnacentral:rRNA from 1 species